rnacentral:rRNA from 1 species
AGCUGUAAGUAAGCUUUGAUCCAGAGAUUUCCGAAUGGGGAAACCCAGCAUGAGUUAUGUCAUGUUAUCGAUAUGUGAAUACAUAGCAUAUCAGAAGGCACACCCGGAGAACUGAAACAUCUUAGUACCCGGAGGAAGAGAAAGAAAAUUCGAUUCCCUUAGUAGCGGCGAGCGAAACGGGAAGAGCCCAAACCAACAAGCUUGCUUGUUGGGGUUGUAGGACACUCUAUACGGAGUUACAAAGGACGACAUUAGACGAAUCAUCUGGAAAGAUGAAUCAAAGAAGGUAAUAAUCCUGUAGUCGAAAAUGUUGUCUCUCUUGAGUGGAUCCUGAGUACGACGGAGCACGUGAAAUUCCGUCGGAAUCUGGGAGGACCAUCUCCUAAGGCUAAAUACUCUCUAGUGACCGAUAGUGAACCAGUACCGUGAGGGAAAGGUGAAAAGCACCCCGGAAGGGGAGUGAAAUAGAACCUGAAACCGUGUGCUUACAAGUAGUCAGAGCCCGUUAAUGGGUGAUGGCGUGCCUUUUGUAGAAUGAACCGGCGAGUUACGAUUUGAUGCAAGGUUAAGCAGUAAAUGUGGAGCCGUAGCGAAAGCGAGUCUGAAUAGGGCGUUUAGUAUUUGGUCGUAGACCCGAAACCAGGUGAUCUACCCUUGGUCAGGUUGAAGUUCAGGUAACACUGAAUGGAGGACCGAACCGACUUACGUUGAAAAGUGAGCGGAUGAACUGAGGGUAGCGGAGAAAUUCCAAUCGAACCUGGAGAUAGCUGGUUCUCUCCGAAAUAGCUUUAGGGCUAGCCUCAAGUGAUGAUUAUUGGAGGUAGAGCACUGUUUGGACGAGGGGCCCCUCUCGGGUUACCGAAUUCAGACAAACUCCGAAUGCCAAUUAAUUUAACUUGGGAGUCAGAACAUGGGUGAUAAGGUCCGUGUUCGAAAGGGAAACAGCCCAGACCACCAGCUAAGGUCCCAAAAUAUAUGUUAAGUGGAAAAGGAUGUGGCGUUGCCCAGACAACUAGGAUGUUGGCUUAGAAGCAGCCAUCAUUUAAAGAGUGCGUAAUAGCUCACUAGUCGAGUGACACUGCGCCGAAAAUGUACCGGGGCUAAACAUAUUACCGAAGCUGUGGAUUGUCCUUUGGACAAUGGUAGGAGAGCGUUCUAAGGGCGUUGAAGCAUGAUCGUAAGGACAUGUGGAGCGCUUAGAAGUGAGAAUGCCGGUGUGAGUAGCGAAAGACGGGUGAGAAUCCCGUCCACCGAUUGACUAAGGUUUCCAGAGGAAGGCUCGUCCGCUCUGGGUUAGUCGGGUCCUAAGCUGAGGCCGACAGGCGUAGGCGAUGGAUAACAGGUUGAUAUUCCUGUACCACCUAUAAUCGUUUUAAUCGAUGGGGGGACGCAGUAGGAUAGGCGAAGCGUGCGAUUGGAUUGCACGUCUAAGCAGUAAGGCUGAGUAUUAGGCAAAUCCGGUACUCGUUAAGGCUGAGCUGUGAUGGGGAGAAGACAUUGUGUCUUCGAGUCGUUGAUUUCACACUGCCGAGAAAAGCCUCUAGAUAGAAAAUAGGUGCCCGUACCGCAAACCGACACAGGUAGUCAAGAUGAGAAUUCUAAGGUGAGCGAGCGAACUCUCGUUAAGGAACUCGGCAAAAUGACCCCGUAACUUCGGGAGAAGGGGUGCUCUUUAGGGUUAACGCCCAGAAGAGCCGCAGUGAAUAGGCCCAAGCGACUGUUUAUCAAAAACACAGGUCUCUGCUAAACCGUAAGGUGAUGUAUAGGGGCUGACGCCUGCCCGGUGCUGGAAGGUUAAGAGGAGUGGUUAGCUUCUGCGAAGCUACGAAUCGAAGCCCCAGUAAACGGCGGCCGUAACUAUAACGGUCCUAAGGUAGCGAAAUUCCUUGUCGGGUAAGUUCCGACCCGCACGAAAGGCGUAACGAUUUGGGCACUGUCUCAACGAGAGACUCGGUGAAAUCAUAGUACCUGUGAAGAUGCAGGUUACCCGCGACAGGACGGAAAGACCCCGUGGAGCUUUACUGUAGCCUGAUAUUGAAAUUCGGCACAGCUUGUACAGGAUAGGUAGGAGCCUUUGAAACGUGAGCGCUAGCUUACGUGGAGGCGCUGGUGGGAUACUACCCUAGCUGUGUUGGCUUUCUAACCCGCACCACUUAUCGUGGUGGGAGACAGUGUCAGGCGGGCAGUUUGACUGGGGCGGUCGCCUCCUAAAAGGUAACGGAGGCGCUCAAAGGUUCCCUCAGAAUGGUUGGAAAUCAUUCAUAGAGUGUAAAGGCAUAAGGGAGCUUGACUGCGAGACCUACAAGUCGAGCAGGGUCGAAAGACGGACUUAGUGAUCCGGUGGUUCCGCAUGGAAGGGCCAUCGCUCAACGGAUAAAAGCUACCCCGGGGAUAACAGGCUUAUCUCCCCCAAGAGUUCACAUCGACGGGGAGGUUUGGCACCUCGAUGUCGGCUCAUCGCAUCCUGGGGCUGUAGUCGGUCCCAAGGGUUGGGCUGUUCGCCCAUUA